AGUGAACGCUGGCGGUAGGCCUAACACAUGCAAGUCGAACGGCAGCACAGUAAGAGCUUGCUCUUACGGGUGGCGAGUGGCGGACGGGUGAGGAAUACAGCGGAAUCUACUUUUUCGUGGGGGAUAACGUAGGGAAACUUACGCUAAUACCGCAUACGACCUACGGGUGAAAGCAGGGGAUCUUCGGACCUUGCGCGAUUGAAUGAGCCGAUGUCGGAUGAGCUAGUUGGCGGGGUAAAGGCCCACCAAGGCGACGAUCCGUAGCUGGUCUGAGAGGAUGAUCAGCCACACUGGAACUGAGACACGGUCCAGACUCCUACGGGAGGCAGCAGUGGGGAAUAUUGGACAAUGGGCGCAAGCCUGAUCCAGCCAUACCGCGUGGGUGAAGAAGGCCUUCGGGUUGUAAAGCCCUUUUGUUGGGAAAGAAAAGCAGCAGGUUAAUACCCCGCUGUUCUGACGGUACCCAAAGAAUAAGCACCGGCUAACUUCGUG
rnacentral:rRNA from 1 species